rnacentral:rRNA from 1 species
UACGGGGGGGGCAAGCGUUGUUCGGAAUACUGGGCGUAAAGGGCUCGUAGGCGGCCAACUAAGUCAGACGUGAAAUCCCUCGGCUUAACCGGGGAACUGCGUCUGAUACUGGAUGGCUUGAGGUUGGGAGAGGGAUGCGGAAUUCCAGGUGUAGCGGUGAAAUGCGUAGAUAUCUGGAGGAACACCGGUGGCGAAGGCGGCAUCCUGGAC